rnacentral:rRNA from 1 species
UACGUAGGGUGCAAGCGUUAUCCGGAUUUACUGGGUGUAAAGGGGGCGCAGACGGCAGCGCAAGCCAGGAGUGAAAGCCCGGGGCCCAACCCCGGGACUGCUCUUGGAACUGCGCGGCUGGAGUGCAGGAGGGGCAGGCGGAAUUCCUGGUGUAGCGGUGAAAUGCGUAGAUAUAUGGAGGAACACCGGUGGCGAAAGCGGCUCUCUGGCCUGUAACUGACACUGAGGCUCGAAAGCGUGGGGAGCAAACAGG